UGUCAAUCCCAAUAUCUCAGUUUAUCCCUCCUCCACUUUGAUAAACAUAAGUUUGCUUUUUCCAUCUGUGACUCUCUUUCUUUUUUGUAAAUAGGUUCAUUUAUUCCAUUUAUUUAUUAUGUUUUAGAUUCCAUGUAUAAGCAAUAUCGUAUAAUAUUUGUCGUUCUCUCUCUGACUUACUGCACUUAGUAUAACAAUCUCUAGGAAACCAGUAUUUUAAAGCGCAUCCGUUUAGAUGGUGUCCUUAGCUAGUGUCUGCCCCUGGGAGGCACGUGCGUCUGGCUGCUGCAAUCACUUAAUCCCUGCACCUUUACCAUGAAAACUGGGGAGGCGGAGGUCGGGGAGCGGGAAUCCAGUGCAAUCGCUGCUGACAUCCCUUUAAAGCCAAAGUCGUAGAGAGAAGUAAUUGGAUUGAGUGGAAAUAGAGUUUUAGAAUGAAAGUGAAUGAUUUGAUUCAUCUAAUUCAGUUAAAACUUUAGAUCAUCUCAUUUAAAUUGCCUGUGUUUCCAUUUAUAUGUCAAAUCCCUGGCCUUUACCAAGAAGGCAAAGUUUUCCCAAUAUAAAAUAAUGGAAGUCUGUUCACUUCUCCUUCAAGGCCGUGCUGUACCAUUCCUUUCAGCCAGGACUGAAGGUCAGGACCCAGGUCCUUGUAAAGACAAUCCCUUUCAAUGCAGUGUUGGUUGAGUCAUAGAAUGUGAGCUCCUGAAAUGCUCUAACAUUGCCUAGGUCUCUCUCCAGUUGCAGUGAAGCCUCCACAUUCUGAUCCUCUGGGGGUUUUGGUAGCUAUGGGAGCCGGCACUACCUCUGCUCAAGGACACAGCCUCUCAAGGGCACCUAAUCAUUCCCAAGGGCAAAAGCCAUGGGGACUUUGCAACAGAUCAGACAAAUGGAACCAGCUAAUUAAAGCUCAUGACUAGCUAGGCUGAUGACAUGGCAUGAAUUCCUCAGGACUUACAUUGGAGCAUCCCUUGGCCUUGGUGUUUCCCUUGGAAGAAGGAAGUGCAGCAGAGCCUUCUGAGCUGGUAAGGAAACACAGAGGGAGGCGCGGGUAGGAGGGGUAGUCCUGCUGUGGCAGGUGGAGGCCCCAGGAGAGGGGGAGAUAGGCAGCAGGCCUCCUCAUUAUCGCUCACUCAUUUGCUCUCAGUAAAGCAGGAAUGACUGAAGUCAUAAAACAGUGUAUUUCAUGAUUGGAUAGUUAACACAGACGCAUUUCCACUGCAGGUGGGAGUCAGGCUCUCUUGCCUCUCUGCGUGCCCACUCCCAGGGCAAAUCUGAAAUUAGUGUCUUCAAACCCUCUGUUCACCUCAUUCCUCUUAUUCCUUUGAGAUUGUCAGAAAGCCUGUGCUGUUAGUAGUUAAUACCAAAUUGAUUUAUUGUUACCUCUCACUAAGAGCAGUAUUAUUUGAGGAUAUAUGUUUUUGUGUCCAUUUGAACACACACGUCACCAUUUAUGUUUUGUUGUAUAAUGUGAUCUGCUUUCUCCAUGUUGCCAUUCUUCUCCAUAACUUGUGUACAUAUAUGAACCAUUAAACUAUGAUUAUUUAUUCACUCAGCAUACCAGGCAAGGCAGCAAUAUAGACAAUUAUUAACUCAAUAAGUAUUUAUUGGGUGACAGCUUCAUAUAAGGCACUGAGCCCAGGUCUUGGGGUAAGUACAAAAAUGUUUGACUUAAAUCCUCUCCCAGGGGCUUCUAUUUUCAUAAAGGCAAUUAAGCCACAGACACAAAUGACUGACUCAAAGAAGAAAGUGGCAACUGGGAAAUACUGAGAAAGUGCUGUAAGUCUGCUGAAGAGAAUAAGUUAAUGUUUGACGGGUCUGGAGAGAGCGGGAGAGUCAGAGAGUAUUCUAUCCAGGGGAGGCUUUUGGUGCUGGGUUCUGAAGGAGACAGGGGUUUGGACAAGUCGUGGUGGGUGGAGA
rnacentral:lncRNA from 1 species